rnacentral:rRNA from 1 species
AGAGUUUGAUCAUGGCUCAGAUUGAACGCUGGCGGCACGCUUAACACAUGCAAGUCGAGCGGUAGCACAGGGGAGCUUGCUCCCUGGGUGACGAGGCGGCGGACGGGUGAGUAAUGUCUGGGAAACUGCCUGAUGGAGGGGGAUAACUACUGGAAACGGUAGCUAAUACCGCAUAACGUCGCAAGACCAAAGAGGGGGACCUUCGGGCCUCUUGCCAUCAGAUGUGCCCAGAUGGGAUUAGCUAGUAGGUGGGGUAAUGGCUCACCUAGGCGACGAUCCCUGGCUGGUCUGAGAGGAUGACCAGCCACACUGGAACUGAGACACGGUCCAGACUCCUACGGGAGGCAGCAGUGGGGAAUAUUGCACAAUGGGCGCAAGCCCUGAUGCAGCCAUGCCGGCGUGUGUGAAGAAGGCCUUCGGGUUGUAAAGCACUUUCAGCGAGGAGGAAGGUGGUUAUCUUAAUACGGUCAUCAAUUGACGUUACUCGCAGAAGAAGCACCGGCUAACUCCGUG